rnacentral:lncRNA from 1 species
AUCAGGUCCUGCAAAGAAAGGAUGACCUCAUAAUUCUAGUAUAAGAAAAACAGAACUCUGAACUUGUUGUCCAUGGCAACUCAGGAAUGCUGUUCCUCCCACUUCCCCCAGGCCACUCCACUCUCACCCUGACAUGGAAAGCUGUUGAUCUGCCACCCCCAAGAACUGACCUGAGAUGAUUAAGAGACCAUACGAUCAUACAUAGGACUCCUUGUUCAUCACUGAUACCACAUGGAAUUUCUGGACAAAUGUAUGCUUAGGAGACAAUAGCCCACUCCACUCCCACCCUGACAAGGAAAGAUGACAUCCCAGGCAUAUUCUUCAUAUUUCUUCUGAGAGGAAGAAAACAGAGCCACAGACUGAAAGCUCAAAGGGACAUCAAAUGUCCUCGAGUCCAAACCACUCCUCUAACUAACGAGAAACUUGAGACCACGAAAGCUAAGGAACUUAACCAGGAUCCUACACUGAAUGAGUAUCUGAGGCAGGUCUGGACCUAGAUCUUAAUGAGCCUUGGGUCCAGCACUGUAAUACUCUAUCAGCAAUGCUGCUCUUCCUUACCCUAGAACAAGACCUAGGACCAUUGGAACAUCACUGACACCAUAUGGAAUUUAAUAAACAAUCACAUUUAGGAAAUUAUAGCUACA